rnacentral:tRNA from 1 species
UACGGACUUAAAAUCCGUUGGCUUUUAUAGACCUUGAGGGUUCAAGUCCCUCUACCCCCA